UACGGGGGGGGCAAGCGUUGUUCGGAAUUACUGGGCGUAAAGCGCACGUAGGCGGACCAGCAAGUUAGGGGUGAAAUCCCGGGGCUCAACCCCGGAACUGCCUUUAAAACUGUUGGUCUGGAGGUCGAGAGAGGUGAGUGGAAUUCCGAGUGUAGAGGUGAAAUUCGUAGAUAUUCGCAAGAACACCAGUGGCGAAGGCGGCUCACUGGCCCGGUACUGACGCUGAGGUGCGAAAGCGUGGGGAGCAAACAGG
rnacentral:rRNA from 1 species